GAGAUUGCAGAUGUACUGAGCAGAAGAUGUGUCGUUUAUAAGGGAAGUGUAUCAGCCAUUCCAAAAGGUGCCCGGUAUGGUAGAACAUGUCAUUAUGUGUCAAAUGGAUUAGAAUUCUGCAUGUUAUGGGAUUGUCCUCCAAUUGACUGUUCGGAUCCUAUUAUUCCAGGUACUGGUUGCCCUUACUGUAAAGGUACUUGUAUACGUGACGGUAUAGUGCACAAGGUAAAUGCACAUUUCCAGUGUGGUUGUAACAGUUGCACGUGUAAACGGUCGACGAGAAGGAGGUGCCAUUAUAGUCUACCAAAAGAGUGCAUCUGAUACCUCCACCAACAACAUAAUACAUACAGAGUAAUUAGGAUAAAAUAAACAAAAAUAAAAUCUUUAUGUUC